CCAGAAAAGAGAGAUUCUAACUCCCACCCCUAGCUCCCAAAGCCAGAA
rnacentral:tRNA from 1 species